rnacentral:sRNA from 1 species
UGACCGCGACCCUACAUCGGUCCAGCCA